rnacentral:snoRNA from 1 species
CCCUCCUACAAAGGCGUGUCUUUUGCUGCCUGUCUUUGGACACGUAAGAAUUGGAGGCAAAGAAAUGGGGAUUUGGAGACAUCUAGAGCUGGUUUGCACCCCACAAGCUCAAGAUCAACUGUCCCACAUAA